ACCGGUUUGCUGCUCGCCGGUUGCAGACGACAAGUUGCAGACGAUACAGCGCGCAUGCUGCGCCGCCACGCGGUUCGCUCGGAACCGCAUUGCCAAAUAACGCAUUGUGUGAACGGCUAAUUACGCAAACGCGAGUCCCCAACCCCUAUAUUGUAGUUUUGUUCGGAGAAAAGCGUGACUGAGAGAAGGUGUGUGUGUUCUCGCAGUGCUGUCGACGUCACAACUAGCAGUGCCAUGCACGUUUCCAAGGAAGAGCUACAAUGUGGCGUAUUCUCCAAGACUAGGUGACGUCACCAAACCCAGAAGCUUUGGCGCCUGUCUCCUAGAAACAUCGCGCGUCUUCGCUGUCCGCACCACGCUGGAAGACUUCCUGCAGCCGUGGUGAGGAGACAGAAAUCGGCCUUCGAGAAACAAUGUUGCCAGACGCGAGGUGUCUUCUGGCCAGGUGGUGAUCGUCCUCCGGUCGGACUGGGUGAUUUCUUGAGAAUGGGGCCUGCAGGUCCGCUGCUCGGUGACCUCACUGCCGUCGGCCUUCUCAGCGGGACGUUCUUGUCGGAGGACUUGCGCAGAGACUGCUGAAGCUUGACAGCACUACGGCGCUUGUAGCAGACGCACGAUACGGCCGCAAGUGUGACCACCAGGAGGGCGCUGCCGACGCAGAUGCCCACGAGAGCCUGGCUGCUGGCUGAGGAAUGGAGGCACGAGCCCAGUUAGGAAUACGUCAUUUAAAGCACAACUUUUCCACACAUUUUUGCACAUAUUUACCUUCGUAGGGUAGGGGGGGAUGUGUUUAAUGGUUAAAAAAAAAGCAAAGGUUAGCCAUACAAGAGGCUUGCUAUUCCAAAAGAGAAAUACAAACAUAGAAAACAAAUAUAGACGGAGUAGUCGUCCUAGACGUAGUAGACGUAGUAGACGGAAUAGUCCUGCAGUAGUUGUGCUCUGUGCAGGCAGGCAUCAGAGAGAUAUUACCUUCGUGAUUUAAACCACGCGCAGUUAAGUAACAUAUCGCCUGUUACAAUGUCUCGGAACAUUCAACAACCAUGUCAUGCGAUGUGUCUAUCAUCGCUAUAUCCCAUUAUAGCUGCGCGUUUCCUAUAGUGUGGUAGACUGCAUAGUAUGUAGAAUAGACAAUCUCAAUUUCGUUCACAGAAUAUACUAGAGUUCUGAGGAAGAAACACACAUGGUAGCUUGAUGGGUCCCAGAUACUGUCCUUCCAGCAAAGCACUGGCCUACACAACGCAGCCAGAAACGACCCUGAAUCCACAUGUCAAUAACGCACCCAAAACGCUUUCCAAAGCAUUAUAACCUAGAAAAACACAACACAUUCUCAGAUGCAAUGCUAUUUCAUUCCCUUUUCAUUUUCUGUCUUCCUUUUCAUCUCCCCUUUUCACAUUCUCUUUCGACAUCUGACCUGUCUCAAUGGGUCGAAAAAUCCCCCCUCCCCUCCAUGAGUCAAGCAAUAUCGCCGCCGCUGCCGCUCUCCACCACAUCCUGCGAGGCGCAAUCGUAUAUCCAGCAAACCCGUCCCCUGGGAUAGGAUUGAUUACUUUUUCGUCCACCCGCUUUUCCUCGUUCGGCCGGGUUGAUGUCUUCCAGGAAAUUCCACUACUCCGUGCGUAAACAGCGAAUCAAAAGGGGCGGUCACAAAGUGACACGAGGAAGUUAUCGAUCCCGGAGCCAGACUCAAGGUCACGACCCAUCUAGCCAGCCGUCCGAGAUACGCCACGUGAUUGUCCAUUAUAGUUUAACGUUCCUCAUUAGAUGGCAUCCUUGAUAUCCUUCCUCGGAUUACUGGUGCGAAUAUAGUGGCAUUGGUCUACCAUCUGGAUAUGCAGCUCAUGCAAUCACGGAAGAUGUUUCAGAAAAGGAGAGAAGCUCCAUUUAGUCUACCGCAUUGGAUUGGAUAAGAAAGAAAAAUAUGGAGAGGUUAGUCCCGACCCAGUCAGGACUGGCUACUCCAAAACGCGUUUGUGGGUAGGCUACCGGCUGGAAGACACAACGCAAAAGAAUCCGGGUGUAAUGAGCUUCUUAUCGUGUAUUCACACGAGCGACAACCUCACGGAAUAUUCUAGUAGAAGAAAAGGCGAAAACACUGCUCACAGAGCCGAAGUUCCGACAUGUGUUAUGUUGAGCAUUCACACGGUGCGGAAUAUCGGGAGUGGCGAACUGCGCAUUUAGCAGACGACACUUAGCAGACGACACCGUCAACGUGUUUUCCUGUCGUCUGCUACGGAAUAUCUUGUGGCUGUGUAGCAGGAUAUUCCACACGGUUAGCAGUGUAUACGUGAAGACACGACGUUGAGCGCUCACGCUCACGUGACAGAAGAAGGCUAUGACGUUUUUCACAUCUUCCGCUUCUGGGGGAAUGUCGCUCGUACGAAUACGCGGUUAUGCGCAUCUAUUCUGCUAUUAUAGUCUCGCACGGGCUCUAGUAUAGUGCGACCCCCCCCCCCUUGCAUCUCUUAACAAAUACGUUGUAUGUAUAGAGAAUCGUGUUAUGUGUUAACGAGUAAAAAAUGAAUAUUUCAGCUCCAACUUUGCACAAAGAAUAGAUGUUUCCACCGUCACAAAGCGAAUCGACACUCCACUACUCAUGUGUGCUCAACUAGUGACCUGACGCAGGAGACAUUCCUUUUGUUCCUGCUGUCAUCAUCUUGAAGUGAAAAUGGAAGAAAAAAGAAAAACUGUCACAUCAACGUUCAUGCCAGUUACUUCGUAGCGCUUAGAGCUAAGAUAAAGCAGUAAAAACAAUUGAACAAAGAUACACGUGACAUCAUGAGACGUUGGCAGACUUGGAGAUUUUUAUUCUGGCAAGAAGUGCCUUACCGCGUCUGGAAAAGACCCAGGGUUUUCCCUGAGGGUUACACUCGGACAGGCUCUACUGUGCUGUCAGACAAAGUGACGGUCACAUGGAACGGAAACCGUUCUAGCUAUCUAGCUAUCCUUAUAGGAGGCGUGCUUUGAUAAAUCAUAGCAGCGCGAACAAAAAUAGACGGAACAAACGGUACAAGAGAUUGCCAUCAGCAACCGUAAACAACUUUCGGAGGACUAAAACAUCUAUCCCAAAGUGCUCGAAUGUGUUGCGCGAGCGUUUGAGCAACAACAAAAAAUAAAAAGAGAAAGAAGAAGAAAAAAACACGAGUGGAAAUAGAACCGAACGGGCGAAUAAAAAAUGCUUCUGAAUAUAUUAAAUGAAUGAUAGGUGCUUUAACGUCAUUAUUUACGGAAGGCGGGGAACGUCGUCAGAAGUACAUACAGGUACAAAAGCGAAACCAAGCGCGCAUAAUUAUGUGCAUAAUUGGUGACGAUAAUGUACCGCCAGAGAUGGCAUAUUAGUUUAUGUUAAGCAAGAAUGUGAAGUGUGUGCGCGAAAAUUUUUAAAUACGGUCAGAACUCGUUGCGUAACGCUUUCUGUACUGUUUUUGUGUUUCGUGCAAGACUAACGUGACACAUGCCUGUCAGAUGUCAAAUAACGCAGGCCAAUAUCCCGCGGUGGUAAGACGCUGAAAAGUGCCUCACUCUCAUUCGUCAUGAGGCAUUCAUUUUACUCUCGAUAUAUACUUUCAGAUUCUAGGUUUACCUUUAUUCGUGAUGAGCAUAUUAAAGCCCCGACUGGACGGUUUGACAGAUUGGGUUGGUCAACGGGGUUGGGUUGGAAUGGAAUCUUUACUAUCUUUACUUCUUUUGUCAAUCACAUUGUGCAGGCAUUGCUGUCCGAAUAGGAUUGGUGGACCACCUGCCUCAAUCUACUCGCACUUUGCAUGUACGACUGUUUCAUUAAAAACAGGAGGUCCAGAAUUGUGCGAAUACUGUGUGUGUGUGGGGGG